GGUCAUAGCUUGGAAAGAUCAAUGUUCAAAGGCAUGAAAAUUGCUAGUGAGUCAGGUGGAUAUAUAUUAAAUACUGUGUAGCCAAGAAAUCAAGUUGAGAUGAACGAUGGCGGGGAAAAGAAUGGAUAUUUAGUAUAAAAAUAAUAAAUUACAACAUAGUUGACAAUUUUUACAGAAAUUAAGAAAAGAUUUAUGAGUGUUUAAAAACAAAAUUCAAAAAAUUAACCUUUAGUUAAUACUAGCUCAAAAUGAUAGAAAGCAGUUUUUUCGUCUAAGGUAUCCUGUAGUAAGUUUGCUAAUUUAUUCC
rnacentral:lncRNA from 1 species